UGUGAUUUUCCAUGUCUUUGCUUUCAUCCAAUAAGUGUUGAGUCAUUUUCUACUCACAAAAUCUACCUGAUGCCAUUUCCAAAUCCUUUAAAAAGAGGUGUUCGGAGGAGCAUCUUAUACUACCUGUAGAUACAUCCUUAGACAUAAAGAAUCCUUUAGUCCAUGAAAUCAGAUUUACUUUUGGAUGAAACCUUGUUUGCUGCUCUGUUCACACUGCUGUCUCUGACUAAUCUUACUCCAUGUAUGCUUCAAAUGAGCCACAGAAAGAGCUUUUAGAUCAAAGCAGUAGUGUGAAUUGUCAAAAAGACAUCAGGUUCCGCAAGAAAGCAAGACGGAGCUUAGACUCUCUGUAAUGAGGAACAGUAUUUCUGCAAGAUGUAAAGCUGUCUUCUGCUAGGAAGAUUCCAGAGUUAGAAUCAUGGAAAGCCUGGUUAAAACAAAGCUAAAUAAUGUUGUAUGGAGGUAUGUGUCUAUAACUCUAAGAGAAGACAAAGUAUUAUUACACAGUAAUCUGUUUGACUAUGGAAUUCUGUUCUAGUAGAACACCUACUAACAGGCAAUGGAACUAGGGUUUGGGGGGAUACAGCUUAAGUAUCAACAUUUGCGUUCAAAUAUAAAUACAAAAAUCAAUUCAAUAAUACAUACAAAGCCUUUGGGUCUUCUUUAUUGCUGUUCUCCCCACCAGGGAGUUGAAGUUGAUUGGAG
rnacentral:lncRNA from 1 species